rnacentral:rRNA from 1 species
UACGGAGGUGGCAAGCGUUAUCCGGAUUUACUGGGUGUAAAGGGCGUGUAGGCGGGACUGCAAGUCAGAUGUGAAAACCCAGGGCUCAACCCUGGGACUGCAUUUGAAACUGCCAUACUGGAGUGCCGGAGAGGUGAGUGGAAUUCCUAGUGUAGCGGUGAAAUGCGUAGAUAUUAGGAGGAACACCAGUGGCGAAGGCGGCUUACUGGACGGUAACUGACGCUGAGGCUCGAAAGCGUGGGGAGCAAACAGG